rnacentral:rRNA from 1 species
GAUUGAACGCUGGCGGCAGGCUUAACACAUGCAAGUCGAGCGGAGAUAAGGUGCUUGCACCUUAUCUUAGCGGCGGACGGGUGAGUAAUGCUUAGGAAUCUGCCUAUUAGUGGGGGACAACAUUUCGAAAGGAAUGCUAAUACCGCAUACGCCCUACGGGGGAAAGCAGGGGAUCUUCGGACCUUGCGCUAAUAGAUGAGCCUAAGUCGGAUUAGCUAGUUGGUGGGGUAAAGGCCUACCAAGGCGACGAUCUGUAGCGGGUCUGAGAGGAUGAUCCGCCACACUGGGACUGAGACACGGCCCAGACUCCUACGGGAGGCAGCAGUGGGGAAUAUUGGACAAUGGGGGGAACCCUGAUCCAGCCAUGCCGCGUGUGUGAAGAAGGCCUUUUGGUUGUAAAGCACUUUAAGCGAGGAGGAGGAGCUCUAGAUUAAUACUCUAGAUGCUUGGACGUUACUCGCAGAAUAAGCACCGGCUAACUCU